rnacentral:lncRNA from 1 species
CUGGAGCUCACCCCAGGAACAAGACUUGAAUCAGACUGAUGUAAACCCUUUUCGCAUUUGUGCAGUGAUGCUGAUGGAUGCUUAGCAUCAGAAGGCCACCUCUCAGUCUCUAAGAUCUGCCUCUGCUGCUUCUCCUGACUGACUCAUAGUCUUGGCCAAAGUGAAACCUAUGGUGCAACCUGCAUGCCUCCUGAGCCAAAGGAGUGUUCUGGGUGGGAUGCCAACAUGAUUUGGUCUGAAGACAAACAACUCUUCCUCUGACUGUCAUACCAUGACUUCAUCAGCAAAAAAGACACUGAGAGAAACAGCCUCGUCAUGGAAUUAGAUUGCUUAAUUUGGAACAGAAGCGUUUUGAAGCCUCCCUACACAGGGUCUCUGUGUUUCUUGCUGCCCAGGAGUUGAGCCCAACCCUUCGUGCCCUGAGGAGACAGAGAAGGCACAUAGGCUGCAAGCCUGAUUUUUCAGUCAUUGUGUGUAUUUCAUACCAAUAAACAGCAGCAGUGAAAUCUUUGUUGUUAGUGUAACAGUACUUUGUGAUGAUGAGGAAUCAGGCUCUGUAAAAUGUAACCAGAAAUUAAACAAGUAAAACUGGGGCAGAGCAAGUAGCUCUGGCACAUCGAGGUAAUUUAUAUCCCGUUAACCAGAGAAGCGGGCACAAGAGACAUCUGGAAGUGAAAAUUAACUAAAAACAGACUAAUGACAUAAACAAGAGAGAAAUACAGCCUCCACAUCUGUGUAGCUGAGCCUGACGGAUGUCACAAGUUGACUGAUAAGGGGUUUUAUUUAAAAAACCCACAACAAGUCAAAGAGGGAAUUUUCCAUAUAAGGCCAUAACUACUCAACGCAGAGAUUUGUGGGGACAUAAAAUGCAUAAGCACAGAGGAAAAAAAUCAGCUGCCAACGGGUUUAGAUGCUUGCUGGAACCAGAAUUAACUGAAUAACAAAAACCAUUAUUUGAGAAACAUUUUUGUUGCCAACAUUCACAACUGUUAUUAUUCACAAACUGCUGCAUGACCACCUGCAGAUCUGACUGAACUUAAAAAAAAUACAUGCUCAGAUAUGCAUGUAGGAAUGGUCAUGAACUCAAAAAAGAAAAAAAAAAUGA